GGAGUAAUACUCAAGAGGCUGAAGAGGCGCGCCUGCUAAGUGCGUAGACUGGGUAACUGGUGCAAGGGUUCAAAUCCCUUUUACUCCGCCA
rnacentral:tRNA from 1 species